rnacentral:rRNA from 1 species
GACGAACGCUGGCGGCGUGCCUAAUACAUGCAAGUAGAACGCUGAAGAGAGGAGCUUGCUCUUCUUGGAUGAGUUGCGAACGGGUGAGUAACGCGUAGGUAACCUGCCUUGUAGCGGGGGAUAACUAUUGGAAACGAUAGCUAAUACCGCAUAACAAUGGAUGACACAUGUCAUUUAUUUGAAAGGGGCAAUUGCUCCACUACAAGAUGGACCUGCGUUGUAUUAGCUAGCAGGUGAGGUAAUGGCUCACCUAGGCGACGAUACAUAGCCGACCUGAGAGGGUGAUCGGCCACACUGGGACUGAGACACGGCCCAGACUCCUACGGGAGGCAGCAGUAGGGAAUCUUCGGCAAUGGGGGCAACCCUGACCGAGCAACGCCGCGUGAGUGAAGAAGGUUUUCGGAUCGUAAAGCUCUGUUGUAAGUCAAGAACGGGUGUGAGAGUGGAAAGUUCACACUGUGACGGUAGCUUACCAGAAAGGGACGGCUAACUACGUG